rnacentral:rRNA from 1 species
AGAGCACAAGGUGAAUGCCUUGGCACUAGGAGCCGAAGAAGGACGUGACAAGCUGCGAAAAGCUACGGUGAGGAGCAAAUAUCCAUAGACCCGUAGAUAUCCGAAUGGGGGAACCCACUUAGAGUAAUGUCUAAGUACAUCUGUGUGAGUAAAGUAGCAUAGAGUGAGGUAACGCGGGGAACUGAAACAUCUAAGUACCCGUAGGAAGAGAAAGCAACCGCGAUUUUCCCAGUAGCGGCGAGCGAACGGGAAAGAGGCCAAACCAAGUGUUUACACUUGGGGUUGAGGACCAUCAAAGAGACAGUAAUAUUUUAGCAAAACAAGGUUGGAAAGCCUGAGCGUAGAGGGUAAAACUCCCGUAUGCGAAAAGAUAAACUGCAGGAUGGUAUCCAGAGUAGGUCCGGGCACGUGAAACCCGGAUUGAAGCAGGGGGGCCCACCCUCCAAGCCUAAAUACUACCUAGUGACCGAUAGCGAAUAGUACCGUGAGGGAAAGGUGAAAAGAACCCCGGGAGGGGAGUGAAAGAGAACCUGAAACCGUGUGCUUACAAUCGGAGGGAGCGAAAGUGACCUCGUACUUUUUGUAGAACGGGCCAACGAGUUAUGGUGUGCGGCGAGGUUAAGGUACUGGAGUACCGGAGCCGAAGGGAAACCAAGUCUUAAAAGGGCGAAAGUCGUAUGCUGUAGACCCGAAACCGGGUGACCUAUCCAUGUGCAGGUUGAAGUGUCCGUAAAAGGACAUGGAGGACCGAACCCGUAUCUGUUGAAAAAGGUUGGGAUGACGUGUGGAUAGAGGUGAAAUUCCAAUCGAACCCGGAGAUAGCUGGUUCUCCCCGAAAUAGCUUUAGGGCUAGCCUCGUGAAAAGAUGCCUGGGGGUAGAGCACUGAAUGUUCUAGGGGCCUUCACCGGUUACCGAAAACUAUCAAACUCCGAAUACCAGAGCAUCAUGCACGGGAGUCAGACUAUGUGUGAUAAUAUUCAUAGUCGAAAGGGAAACAGCCCAGACCGCCGGCUAAGGUCCCAAAAUUCAGAUUAAGUGGAAAAGGAUGUGGGGUCGCAUAGACAGCUAGGAUGUUGGCUUAGAAGCAGCCAUACAUUCAAAGAGUGCGUAAUAGCUCACUAGUCGAGUGACCCUGCGCCGAAGAUGAACGGGGCUAAAAUCUGAUACCGAAGCCACGGAUACUAAAAGUAUGGUAGGGGAGCAUCGUGUGCAGGAAGAAGCAAAAUCGAAAGGUAAUGUGGACAGUACACGAGAGAGAAUGUUGGCAUGAGUAGCGUAAGGCAGGUGAGAAUCCUGUCCACCGAAAAUCCAAGGUUUCCUGAGGAAGGUUCGUCCACUCAGGGUAAGUCGGGGCCUAAGGUGAGGGCGAAAGCCAUAGCCGAUGGAUAACAGGUAGAGAUUCCUGUACCACCGAUAACUGCAAGAGCGAAGCGGGGACACGGAAGGAUAGACUAAGCGCACCGUUGGUAGAGUGCGUCCAAGCGUCAAGGUAGUAAUUAUAGGGAAGACCGUAGUUAUGGAUCUGAGGCGUUAAGGGGUGGCGAAAGAGCCGGAAGUAGUUGAUUUCACGCCGUCAAGAAAAGCCGCUAGUGAGGUUAAAGGUGCCCGUACCGUAAACCGACACAGGUAGAUGAGGAGAGAAUCCUAAGGUGAGCGAGAGAACCAUUGUCAAGGAACUCGGCAAAAUGACCCCGUAACUUAGGGAGAAGGGGAGCCGGCGCGAGCCGGUCGCAGUGAAAAGGCCCAGGCAACUGUUUACCAAAAACACAGGUCUCUGCGAAAGCGAAAGCUGAAGUAUAGGGGCUGACGCCUGCCCGGUGCUGGAAGGUUAAGGGGAAGUGUUAGAGAAAUCGAAGCACGGAACUGAAGCCCCAGUAAACGGCGGCCGUAACUAUAACGGUCCUAAGGUAGCGAAAUUCCUUGUCGGGUAAGUUCCGACCCGCACGAAAGGCGUAAUGAUCUGGGCGCUGUCUCGACAAUGGACUCGGUGAAAUUGUAGUGCCGGUAAAGAUGCCGGCUACCCGCAGCAGGACGGGAAGACCCCAUGGAGCUUUACUGCAGCCUGAUAUUGAGCCUCGGCACUGCAUGUACAGGAUAGGUGGGAGACGAAGAGAAUAGCACGCCAGUGUUGAAGGAGUCACCGUUGGGAUACCACCCUUGUAGUGUUGGGGUUCUAACCGAGUAUCAUUAUCUGGUACCGGGACAGUGGCAGGUGGGCAGUUUGACUGGGGCGGUCGCCUCCAAAAGAGUAACGGAGGCGCCCAAAGGUUCCCUCAGCGCGGACGGAAAUCGCGCG